UUCAAACUGUGAAAGGAUGAAGUUAUGAAUUUUGUCACAUUUUUAGUAUUUACAUGCACUGAAAUUUUACAUGUAAAACACCCUUUUACAAAAAACAAACAUUGGAUACCUCAGCUUUAUUUCCCACACCCAGUGAAUGCACCACAGACAGCAUGGUGUUUGCAGUUGUUACAGCUGACUAAGGCAAAACUGGUCAUCCCCAAAGACUGUUUAUAAAUGGCCAUCCCUGAAGAUAUAGGAGGACAAACAAAGCACUACAAGAGCAUUGUACAAGGAACUGAGCAGAGGAGUUAACAGGAGCCAUUUGCCGGGCCGCCUUCUGGACACAGCCUGCAGAUCUUUGGACCCUUUGAACCAACCUCCUGACGGUCCUUUCUCAAGUUGCCCGAUUCCAAAAAGAAAACUGUACUACUACAACUACUGCUGCUGUGGAGGCGCUGACACCCGAUAAUGCCAGAGGACGACCGAUGAUGACGGAUGACGGAUGGCGACGAUGGAUGACUACGACAAUGGAAGAUGAGAGACAAUGACCUACGAUACACAAUGGCCGCUGCUACUACUACUAUUACAACAACUACGCUGACUACUAUUGCAAUGACUACUACAACUACUGUGACAACUACUAUGAUUAUAACGAUGGACGCCGACGGACAACGCCUGAUGACACCUGGUGACGAUGACCACUGAUCAAUGCCCAAUGGACAAUGAUGGUGCCCAACGACGAC